UAUUUUUUUUUGUUGAACUUCAAUUUCGAAUUCAAUCCUCUUUGUGUUUGGUUGUUUUUUACUCAUGCAUAUGUGUAUCACGAAUUGUUUACUCAUGCAUAUGCGUAUCAUGAACUUCAUUUUGAACUGAGAGGACAAGAAGCAGAAAUCAUACCUACGAAAUGCCCAAAUUAUCUCUCUCUCUGCACUUUUUUAAUUUAUGUAUUAUUUUCUUUAUGGAUUUGAUGAUAUGUUCUGUGAUUUUUGUUUGCAGGGGAAGGAGAAUAUUACUCCGAUUGGCUCAAAGAUCACAGAUCACAUGUGACAAGCUGGGGAUGUUUGUUUCUCCCAAGUCUUCCGUGAGAAUGGUAGGUUUUUAGUUUGAGGAUUGGGUUUAACAGUUUGUUGUGAUUGUAUCCGAACAGCUUGUGGUUUAGCCUUUUAUCCGUGGUGGGAAGUAAUAUAGUUUGGGUGAGAGUUAUUAUGUGCUCUUGUUUUUACUAUGGUGGGAAGAUUAGCCGCUAAACGAUAAAAAAAAGAAUCCAUUCGUGUCACUAAUUUGGUUGCUUAUGGAAAAUCAUUGUUGCUAA